GAUGAAGAACGUAGCGAAAUGCGAUACGUAAUGUGAAUUGCAAAUUCAGUGAAUCAUCGAGUCUUUGAACGCACAUUGCGCCCCCUGGUAUUCCGGGGGGCAUGCCUGUCCGAGCGUCAUUGCUGCCCUCAAGCACGGCUUGUGUGUUGGGCCCCGUCCUCCGAUCCCGGGGGACGGGCCCGAAAGGCAGCGGCGGCACCGCGUCCGGUCCUCGAGCGUAUGGGGCUUUGUCACCCGCUCUGUAGGCCCGGCCGGCGCUUGCCGAUCAACCCAAACUUUUUAUCCAGGUUGACCUCGGAUCAGGUAGGGAUACCCGCUGAACUUAAGCAUAUCAAAAGCGGAGGA
rnacentral:misc_RNA from 1 species